rnacentral:rRNA from 1 species
UAGGGAAUCUUCCACAAUGGACGCAAGUCUGAUGGAGCAACGCCGCGUGAGUGAAGAAGGUUUUCGGAUCGUAAAGCUCUGUUGUGGGUGAAGAAGGAUAGAGGCAGUAACUGGUCUUUAUUUGACGGUAAUCAACCAGAAAGUCACGGCUAACUACGUGCCAGCAGCCGCGGUAAUACUUAUGUGGCAAGCGUUGUCCGGAUUUAUUGGGCGUAAAGCGAGCGCAGGCGGAAUGAUAAGUCUGAUGUGAAAGCCCACGGCUCAACCGUGGAACUGCAUCGGAAACUGUCAUUCUUGAGUGCAGAAGAGGAGAGUGGAAUUCCAUGUGUAGCGGUGGAAUGCGUAGAUAUAUGGAAGAACACCAGUGGCGAAGGCGGCUCUCUGAUCAGCAACUAACGAUGAGGCUCGAAAGCAUGGGUAGCGAACAGG